UUGUUACUGUUAAGCCAUCUUUCCUUCCUCGUUUCUUCCUUCUCUCUUCCUUUACCUGAAUUAACUUGUGUUCUUCUCUUCUGAAAGAUGGAAUAAAUUUUAAUCUAAUAAUAAAGAUAAAUAGUAAACACUAAUUUUUCCCCUAGAAAGGCUCACAGGACUUGCUUAUUAAUAUUGAUGAUAGCUUACUAUUCUCAAAAAAUUUCAAGUAAAUAUUAUGCCCUUGUACUCUUAAAUAAUAGGUUAUUUUCCAACCAAGAAAGUAGUUUCCGUGGUAGUUAGAAAUUGGAAGUUAGCAAAUGUGCAAAGAAGAGCACAUGAUAACAAACUUUAUACUUUAAUUUGAAUGCUUAAAGUUCAAAAUUAUGUCCUUAAAGGAUGUUAAAUUAUUAACUAGUAAGCAAAGUUUUAAAUAUAAUUUUUACCAUAUUUAAGUGACAGAUGCCUUAUCUUAUUUACAUCUGUGGCGUCUUAACAUGCUUUAUUCUUAUCGAUUAUAGGAUCUGAAUACGCUUUUCUCUCUAAUCAUAAACUCCUUGGUUAUCUGAGAGUAGCAUGAGUGAGAAAUUUUUUACUAUGUGUAUCCUGUCAAAUCUUGGAAAUUUUGUUUCUUCAAAGAUGUUUAUUCUGAUUAAUGGGCCCUUUGAGGUUUGUGUCAGCAUAUGCCUACUUAGUGACAGAUAAUUUUACCUUACUAAAAUGGUAAAAUACAAUUGAAUCUAGAUUAGAUAAAUGAAAAUGCA